AACGAACGCUGGCGGCAUGCCUAACACAUGCAAGUCGAACGAAACCUUCGGGUCUAGUGGCGCACGGGGUCGUAACGCGUGGGAACCUGCCCUUAGGGUCGGAAUAACUCCCCGAAAGGGGUGCUAAUACCGGAUAAUGUCUUCGGACCAAAGAUUUAUCGCCUUUGGAUGGGCCCGCGUUGGAUUAGCUAGUUGGUAGGGUAAAAGCCUACCAAGGCGACGAUCCAUAGCUGGUCUGAGAGGAUGAUCAGCCACACUGGGACUGAGACACGGCCCAGACUCCUACGGGAGGCAGCAGUGGGGAAUAUUGGACAAUGGGCGAAAGCCUGAUCCAGCAAUGCCGCGUGAGUGAUGAAGGCCUUAGGGUUGUAAAGCUCUUUUACCCGGGAUGAUAAUGACAGUACCGGGAGAAUAAGCUCCGGCUAACUCCGUG
rnacentral:rRNA from 1 species